ensembl:lincRNA
GGGAUGGGGAGACAGUGACUUAAAGCAUCACAUAAAUGAAUGCAAAUUAUGGCUGUGUAAAGGAGAGGCCCCUCGUGCAAAGAAAACAAAGCAGGGAAACCUUUUCUCCUCUGGGGUUGAGUGAAGACCUUCCUAGUGGAGGAAAGGAAUAUAAAGAUGUCGCAGGAAAAAGAGAAGCCAGUGUGGCCAGAUCUUCAAAGAAAGAGAUAUCCUUUCGAGGCAACACAAGAAGCCAACUACAGAUGAGAAUAUUAUUCUCUUGGUGCAGGGAUUGUUGCAUGUGGACCCCAUCAGCCUUGAAAAGUCCAUGGCUUCAACACUCUGUGGCCUUUGACAGGCAUGAAGAAAAGCAAGACCAAAACAGUUCUCACAACACAGCCGGUGGUCACAAAGAACAGCCCAUGGAGAUGUCUGUCACUGAAAAGAGUGGUCUCUGGAAAAGAACCAAAAGUAAAAGAGGUGGAAAUGGAGUUAGAAAAAGAGAGAUUGAAAGUAGAUGAAAUAUAAUAUUUGAACACUUAAACGUAAAUAUUAAAUCCUGAAAAACACCAGUGGCUAGAAUCAUAGGCAUAUAUUUUCUUUCUCUCUUUUACCUCCAACAGUGUUAUCAAUAAAAAGAGUUUGGAAGUACAGGUGGUCAAUCAAACAAUUAGGUUUUUAAAAAUCUUCUAGAACAUUCUGAUAUCUGAGGAAAAUUGACUUAUAAGUCCCAGAAGGAGGAAUGGAAUGUUCCUAGAAACAAUAAACUUAGUCCCUCACUCUAUUACUUUAUUUAUUUAUUUAUUUAUUUAUUUAUUUUCAUCUUUAAUAAAGCAAUAUCACAUUUUACAUAUUAAUUAUCUCAUCUGGUUUUUUUUCUAAACUGUAUUGUUGAUAUUCA